CAUGUAGCACUGCAGAUAUUUAUUGAGUAUCAUCGCUGCUGCUGCUCAAGAAUUGUGCGCUCAUGCUAGAUGUGUGACCUACAUCCCACUUCAGAGUCAUGAUGCACUGCAGUUAGUGCAUGUCUGCUGCCUCAGAAUCUGCACCACCGAUCUACAGAAAUGCACACUGAUGCAUUUGCUUAGUCAUUUGCACUGUAUGAACACUGCAUUUCAUACUAGAAGCCUUUUUUGUAGCAUUGAGAAAAGUCCAACAUUGUUGUCAUGGCCUACAGCAUUCAGUCAUUUUCAUCCUAGUCCAUUCUAUUUGUUAAGAAUGCAAUCAUAAUAGCAAACCUAGGGAAAUGAAUUAAGGGUUAAAGCUUUGCAUGUGACUCACAGUUGGGAUAGAUUCGAUUAACAUAUUAACGUUUUAGUAAGAAAAUGAAGAUUCAGGCUUUAUUGGAAGAAAGAAACUUACUAGCCUUUAUUAUAGUGGUAGUAGUUCCUGUAGCUCAAAUGGUAGAGCAAUGCCAAGGUCGUGGGUUUAAUGCCCAGAGAACACACAUAAAAUAUCUGCUUUUGGAUAAAAGCAUCUGCCAAAUACAUGCAUGUAAAAUGUAUUGUAAACAACCUGAUAUUGUAGAAUCACGUUACUAUGCCUAUGUUUUUGCAAACUUAUUUUUUAUGUGGUUCAUUUUACAUAUCGUGGCAGUUUCCUGAUGAAAUAAGCACUAGAGGGGCUACAAUAACAUUGACUUUUAUUCGCUUUCACACAAAUCGUGAGUCAAACGGAAGAUUAUCAGUUAAUAAUCACUCAUCUUUUUAUGCUAUAUUAUGACAUUUUUACUUUUACAAAACAUUUUUACUAAAGCACAUGACUUUUAAGGUGAUACAUUUUUACAUUCGUAUUACAUAACCAACUACAUUUACAAGCUUAUUCAAAUGCAAUCAAAUUGCGCGAGCUGCGGCACGAGAGCAUGCGUUCGAAUCCAGGGCAUGCUGUGUGACUCCAGCCAGGUCUCCUAAGCAACCAAAUUGGCCUGGUUGCUAGGGAGGGUAGAGUCACAUGGGGUAACCUCCUCAUGGUCGCUAUAAUGUGGUUUGCUCUCGGUGGGGCGCGUGGUGAGUUGUGCGUGGAGGCCAGGGAGAAUGGCGUGAAGCCUCCUCACGUGCUAUAUAUCCGCAGUAACAUGUUCAACAAGUCACGCAAUAAGAUGCACAGAUUGACGGUCUCAGACGCGGAGGCAACUGAGAUUCGUCCUCCGCCACCCGGAUUGAGGCGAGUCACUAUGCCACCACGAGGACUUAGAGCGCAGUGGGAAUUGGGCAUUCCAAAUUGGGGGAGAAAAAGGGGAGAGAAAACAAAAAUAACAAACAUGACCAUUGGAUUGCCACUUACUUUAACACAUAUGAACGAAAUGGAAACUCCUGCUCAAGAACUGGAGAUGUUUCUUCUGAAUUAGACACUUACCUGACAAAAGAUAUUUCCAAAAAUUGUGGGGACAAAAUUUGCUAAGGCAAAAAUUGGUAGGGACAUGUCCCCCCCUCUCCCACCUGUAAAUUACACCUACGCAUGUACGUAAUGUCACUUUGCGAAAAUGGCAUCACAUUCAGGUAAUUUUUUUCAGGCUGAUUGUAAAAGAACAUAAGCUACAGGCCUCUUGUUUCCAGGUUGAAUUCGCUCCCCUGGAGAUGAAUUGAUGAAUUGGUGCCAUCCGUUGUCAGAGAAGGCUUCCGCAUUAAUUUACUGUGUGGAAUUAAUUAACCUGUUUCUUUUUUAUGGCACCCUCAUUAUGGUGUCAAAAGGGAUUUGGAAAGCUUGCCCUAGUUUGGUUAAUAUUGCUUCUUUUACGUCUUGCUUUUUCCUCAAAUUUCUAUAGUUUAGGUCAUACUGUAUGCAAAAUUAUAUAUAGAUUUGUCCUGGCUUUGGUGCUCUUAAAUCUAAAUUCUCUGUACACCCUCUCCAGACACCCCCUCCCUUUAAAAGUGUGUAACUGCAUAUCCAUAGAGUCAAGUUUAGUAAAGGGUGCAAUGUUUUUCUCCAAAUAGGGAUUCUGUUUUUGCCUUCUGACACCUGAGGGAACACUCACGUCUGUGUUUCAUGCUAGAAGAACAGGAAUGCUAAGUGGAAUAUUGGAAGUGUGUUAACCUCUGGUUCACAACUAAAAAAAAAAAAAAUGCUUUUGGCACCCCACCUUGCACCCGGAAAAUGGAGCUCACGUGUGCCCAUAAACCCAACAACACUUAACGCUAUGACCACUGGGGGCAGUGUUCUGAAUCUCGUUUUCCUUUUUCCAACCACUGAGCGCUGCAAUGAUGACACAGAUUGCUGCUGAACUAAUUUCUGGCUCUGGUCUCCAUAAGAAACAAUGUAAAAAACUGCCGAAACGAGUGAUCCAGAUGGAAAACAACAACGAUUUUAAGUGUUAAUUGGAGUAACAAGGAGUUCAGUCUCAACUUGUACAGUUAUUGGCUGUAAUAUCUUCAAUUGAUCAACGUAACUAACGUCAUAGCUUCAUGUCAUCUACCCACUCCUUAAACUUUGAUGGGUGAGGCACUGUCAAAAACAUUCACUUGCAUUGUUUAGAGGAGGAGGCCUGAAAUGAAAUCCUAAAAGUCUUCAAUUCUGUUUUGAUGAAGAAAGAAACUCAGAUACAUCUUGGAUGGCCUGAGGUGGGAAGAUAAAAGACUCUUAUUACAUGUGACUGGAUCUGUCAAGGUCUCUGGCAUCUUACUUCUCUUCUGUUUGGGAUUAAAAAGACCCCUGUGUGUUCAUCAGGUCAACUCCCACUAAUGACUGUGUGUCUGGCACAGAUGGUGAGCACUGAGAGUGUCUAAGCUUUGACACACUGAGUCAGGACUGAUUAACGGAGUCUCUCAGGGUUCUUCUCCAGUGGGAUUUUAUGGCAAUAUGGAGGACUUUCCUUAUGACGACUUACUUUACAAUUAAACUGGGCGUAUUUAGUUGUGUCAUUAAAACCCAUUGGUCUAAUUAGGUGAGCAAUCUUGUAUCAACUUAUAUUUUUGUAAUACAGAUCGACAUCUUACCUGAAGGAUGAGUUUCCCCAGAAUUAAUACUUAUCUGAGCAACGUUUGAUACUCAAAAUCAGUUCUCAGUUUGUUCAUAAUCGUAAUGACUUUUAUGAGUUGUAAACAACACAUCAUUCAACCACUAAAUAUUACCAAUAUUUUAGCCGUGCUGUGAUAAUGAACCUCAACUCUCAAUUAUAUGAUGAAUAUUUAAUGGAAAGAUCAGCAGGACACUCCCAUGCUUCUGCAGCAACCAUUCAAGGGUUUCAAGUUACAACAUGGAGGGGGAGGGACUGCCAAGGUAAAGAGGCUUGAAGCAACUUCGCUCCUUUUUUCUAUACCAACUCAAGUAGUUUUCAUACAUUGCUCGGCCAAUCUAUUCGUACUUAUUCUAAAGAAUUUAUGAAUGAUCUCAAGACACUUAAGUGUUCUCUUGAUUAAAACCAUAUUGUUGAAUUUGGUGAUGAUUUGGUAAAGAUAGACUCUCAAGUUGUUUGGGGAAUUUACUAUUUAUACUUCCUUAAUGUUUUAGGCUUAUGCUAAUAAAGCUGUCUGAUGUC